UUGUGUGUAUAUACCACAGUUAAACCUGUCACAGGAUUACCUUCCUUUUUAAGGCUCCAUGGUAUUCCUUUGUGUGGAUAUACCACAGUUAAACCUGUCACAGGAUUACCUUCCUUUUUAAGGCUCCAUGGUAUUCCCUUGUGUGGAUAUACCACAGUUAAACCAGGCUCUAACUGUAAUUAGAGCCUCUGCUCCACCAGCUACUCAUUUGGCAGUAGAGCCUUUUAUUUGUCCUCAUCUUUCAUUCAAACUUCAAAAGGUUUGUCCCCUAUUCCCCAAAUGUUUGCUUCUAUGGUAUCUGAUUCUAAGUAAUUGCAUGUUCUUUCUAUACUCUAUAUAGUUUAUUCAUGUAUUCAUUCCGUUGAGUGCUUUUUAUGUGUCAGGCACUAUUCUGGAUGCUGAGGCCUACCUCAGCCCACCGAAGUGCUGGGAUUACAGGCGUGAGCCACCGCGCCCAGUCCCUUUACUAGCUUUGGAUAAUGAAAUCACUUUCUUUCUACCAGACCUUGCUCUUGUUAAUUGGACUCUGCAAGCGGCAAGCAUCCACACCUGCGUUCGGUUACAUAUGGACUAAAAUUGUGUAGUAUAAUGAUGUUCUGGAAUGCUGCUGUUUUACUUAGCUAUACUGGAACAGAAAUUAAAAGAAAUUAAAGAAUGUGUAAGCAAAAACUCAGUUAUAUGUAAAAAAACCCCAAUCCCCCCUGAAGAAGAGAAAGAACUAGAGUACUUUAAAAUUAACUGCCUGUUUUUCUGUGGCUAGUGAGCCUUAGCUCUCCCUUUCCCAGGCAUUGUGAAGACUGUUUCUCUAGCUGUGCAGCUGCAAGGUCACUAGACAGAUCAUCUCAAGUCAUAAAACACAUUGUUCCUUAAAAAGUAAAAAAUGAUAUAAUGCAUGCCUCAAUUAACUGUCUUUUUUCUCGCUUCUAUAGUAUGCUUCCCUGUGCACAGAUCUCCCCUCGCCCCACGAAACGCUUGAAAGGUAGCUUAACUCUUUGUUCAAGGCUCAGUCCUUUAAAUGUUAAUCCGACUGGGUUGGUGCACCUAAAUAAUGAAAUAAUUCCUCCUCAACCCCUCGGUCUCUCUGAUUCUUUAAUUAUCCUGCUGCAUUUCUGGUGGCCCAUACGGGGAUUGGAGACAACAGAUAUACUGUCUCCUUUGCCUGCAGGACAGAGCCCCGGAACCAGGGGGAGAUCCGGCAUUCAAGGUGUGCCAUGGGAGUGCUUCACCCGGAUGGAGACCAGCUCUCCCUGCGACCUGGUGCCCUGCCCAGCAGCACAACGGAACCGGAGAUGGGGCUGCAGGAUGAUACCAGCACUUCAGGAAACGCGGUGUCACACCUUGGAUUCACUAUAGCCAGCUGAAACCAGCGGCAGCAGUGACUCCGAUGAUAACCAGUGGAUUAACCAACAAGACCCAGAUCGCCCCACCCGAAUAGUCCUACGGGGAAACCCAACCACCUAUAAGAAGGACAACUGCCCUGCUCUGACCACGCUGGAGGAUGGUCAGUCUACGCAUGGCUGAGGCUUGAGGAUCCUGCAAGCUCUACUCUGGUCACCUGCCGGAAGCUGGCUAGUCUACGCACAGCUGAAGCUAAGAGGACCAUCUCCGGAUAAGUAAAUGUGGAUACAAUUUAUAAACCUAGUUAUAAUUCUGUCAAAACUGAUUGUUCUGUUGUUAUGUUAUCAUUGCAAAUACUGCAAAUGUCUGUGCCCCGAGGAAGGUUUGCCAUGCCCAUGCCUAGUAUAAGCAUGUUUCUAUUACAUAUACUGAUGUUGUUACCAUUUCUGCCUAUACUAGAAGGGGAGAAAUCUCUAGAAGGAUGUCCACACUGUGUACAUACUACCUGGGUAAGGAAUACCAUAGUUAAAACUCUACUGUACCAUACGUACUAUAAAUGUACAGGAACCAAGUUAGAAACCUGCACAUACAACCAGAAACAGUCUGCAAUGGUUUAACACAAGGGAGGCUUAGCAGGGGCAGCCCUAAACAUCUGUACGGAGAACCACAAAUCAGAUGUCCAGACUGUAACAUUCAGUGGUCUAUGCUAGCACACCUCCAACACUUAUAUUCAGGAAGGACUGCUCUGCUAAGUAGUAUGUCAAUUAUACCAAAUUGCAAGACAAGAACAUGCAAUCCUUUAAAUUUUACUAUCUUAAAGCCACAGCUACCUUUUUGGUCUACAGGACAGACAGCACUCUUACGAGUUGAUAGACAAGGAGUAGGCCUUGGAGUUCCACUACUAAUUGUCAAAAAGACUGGAAGGACUCAAUUGUGGGGGUGUGUCCAACCCCACAAUUCCAGGUCUAUAAGUCAUUCUAUAAGCAUUUUGAUCAGUCAGUGCCUGAGCUUUCCCAUCAACCAAAACCUUACUUGCUCAACUAGCUAAAAACGUAGCUGGCAGCUUAGAAAUUUCCUCAUGCUAUGUAUGUGGAGAAACUAAUAUAGGGGACCAGUCGCCAUGAGAGGCAAAAACUGAAUGCCACAAGAUAACUUCACUUCGCCUAUCACUGCCAGUGAACCAACAGCCUCAGCCAGUGUUUGGUUGUUAAAAACCUCCAUAAUUAAAAAGUACUGUAUCGCCUGACCAAAAAAAAAAAAAAAAAAAGAAGGCUUGCACAGAGGCAGUAGGAGAAACAACCUGCCUAGGGCAACAGUAUUAGGAUGAGACUAAAAACACAAUUCUAUGCAGAAAUGCCCAGAACGACUCCUGCUUACCAGAUCCAAACCCUUUCUCUUGGUUCUCUACUUUAAGCCACUCUUGGCAUCAGCUAGAGGCUCCAGAUGCUUCGAAAGCACCCCCUGGCCUAUAUUGGAUCUGUGGAGCACAGGCAUAUCGGCUAAAUAGACAGGGACAUGUGUGUUAGGAACAAUCAAGCCAUCCUUCUUUCUAAUGCCUCUAAAGCAAGGGGAACUCUUAGGGUAUCCAGUUUAUAAUGAAAAUUUAAAAAGAACUAAAAAAAGCAUAAUUGCAAAAAUGACACAAAUGUCACAAAAAAUGUAGACAUAAAAGACUGGAAAGAUAAUAAUGGCUGAGCUGUCGUAGAAAUCACAGCUAAAAUGCUCAAGUUAGCCCAUGUUCCAGUUCAGACUUGCUCCAGAUAAUCCCUGGAUUCCUUGUUUAGAGGAUGGUUCUCAACCUUUAAAAGAUUCAAAACCCUCAUUGGUGGGUUUUCGUUUUCUCUUGGAAUCUGCCUCAUCCUCCCUUGCCUUUCACCCCUGUAAUUAGGAGUAUUCGUCAACUGUAGAGGCAGUAGUAACCUGACACACUGCCACACAGUUGAUGGCAUUAACCAAAUAUCAGCGGCUGCCAGUAGAAGAAACAGCUCAGCUCCGCAAAGAGGUGGCAAAUAGUGGUGCUUUCUGUUAACACCUGUGUUAUAAAAAGUACCAAAGUGGGGAACUGGAACAGAAAUUAAAAGAAAUUAAAGAAUGUGUAAGCAAAAUCUCAGUUAUAUGUUAAAAAAAAAAAAACACAAAAAACCCAGUCCCCGCUGAAGAAGAGAAAGAGCUGGAGUCCCUUAAAAUUAACUGCCUGUUUUUCUGUGACUAGUGAGCCUUAUCUCUCCCUUUCCCAGGCAUUGUGAGAAUCUGUUUCUCUAGCUGUGCAGCUCCAAGGUCACUAAACAGGUUAGAGAAAGAGGGACCAAUUAACUUCAUCUUUUCCUAAACUUGAGAAGAGACAAACCAAGUCCUGCCCUUCAUCUCUAAUGUUUGGAAGAUCAGAAGUUCCUGUCAAUUAAGUCAUCUUUUCUUCAUAACUAUUGCAAAAGAAAUCAUCAGAAAUCGCUGAAUAGGUCAAUUAAAACCAUUUUUAUCAAAUAUAUUCA